rnacentral:rRNA from 1 species
GACGAACGCUGGCGGCGUGCCUAAUACAUGCAAGUCGAGCGGACUGAUUAAGAGCUUGCUCUUAUGACGUUAGCGGCGGACGGGUGAGUAACACGUGGGCAACCUGCCCUGUAGAUCGGGAUAACACCGAGAAAUCGGUGCUAAUACCGGGUAAUAUCUGAGAUCACAUGAUCUUAGGUUAAAAGAUGGCUCCGGCUAUCACUACAGGAUGGGCCCGCGGCGCAUUAGCUAGUUGGUAAGGUAAUGGCUUACCAAGGCGACGAUGCGUAGCCGACCUGAGAGGGUGAUCGGCCACACUGGGACUGAGACACGGCCCAGACUCCUACGGGAGGCAGCAGUAGGGAAUCUUCCGCAAUGGACGAAAGUCUGACGGAGCAACGCCGCGUGAGUGAUAAAGGGUUUCGGCUCGUAAAGCUCUGUUGUUAGGGAAGAAACAGUACCGAACGAACUAGGUCGGUACCUUGACGGUACCUAACCAGAAAGCCACGGCUAACUACGUG